GACGUAGGGCGCGAGCGUUGUCCGGAUUUAUUGGGCGUAAAGAGCUCGUAGGCGGUCUGUCGCGUCUGCUGUGAAAACUCAGGGCUUAACCCUGAGCUUGCAGUGGGUACGGGCAGACUAGAGUGCGGUAGGGGAGACUGGAAUUCCUGGUGUAGCGGUGAAAUGCGCAGAUAUCAGGAGGAACACCGGUGGCGAAGGCGGGUCUCUGGGCAGUAACUGACGCUGGAGGAGCGAAAGCGUGGGGAGCGAACAGG
rnacentral:rRNA from 1 species